rnacentral:rRNA from 1 species
CAGCAGCCGCGGUAAUACGUAGGUGGCAAGCGUUGUCCGGAAUUAUUGGGCGUAAAGGGCUCGCAAGCGGUUUCUUAAGUCUGAUGUGAAAGCCCCCGGCUCAACCGGGGAGGGUCAUUGGAAACUGGGAAACUUGAGUGCAGAAGAGGAGAGUGGAAUUCCACGUGUAGCGGUGAAAUGCGUAGAGAUGUGGAGGAACGCCAGUGGCGAAGGCGACUCUCUGGUCUGUAACUGACGCUGAGGAGCGAAAGCGUGGGGAGCGAACAGGAUUAGAUACCCGCGUAGUCCCUGUCUCUUAUAC